GGGGAAUAUUGGGCAAUGGGCGCAAGCCUGACCCAGCAACGCCGCGUGAAGGAAGAAGGCUUUCGGGUUGUAAACUUCUUUUAAGAGGGAAGAGCAGAAGACGGUACCUCUAGAAUAAGCCACGGCUAACUACGUGCCAGCAGCCGCGGUAAUACGUAGGUGGCAAGCGUUGUCCGGAUUUACUGGGUGUAAAGGGCGUGCAGCCGGGUCUGCAAGUCAGAUGUGAAAUCCAUGGGCUCAACCCAUGAACUGCAUUUGAAACUGUAGAUCUUGAGUGUCGGAGGGGCAAUCGGAAUUCCUAGUGUAGCGGUGAAAUGCGUAGAUAUUAGGAGGAACACCAGUGGCGAAGGCGGAUUGCUGGACGAUAACUGACGGUGAGGCGCGAAAGUGUGGGGAGCAAACAGGAUUAGAUACCCUGGUAGUCCACACUGUAAACGAUGAAUACUAGGUGUGCGGGGACUGACCCCCUGCGUGCCGCAGUAAACACAAUAAGUAUUCCACCUGGGGAGUACGAUCGCAAGGUUGAAACUCAAAGGAAUUGACGGGGGCCCGCACAAGCGGUGGAUUAUGUGGUUUAAUUCGAAGCAACGCGAAGAACCUUACCAGGGUUUGACAUCCUGCUAACGAAGUAGAGAUACAUUAGGUGCCCUUCGGGGAAAGCAGAGACAGGUGGUGCAUGGUUGUCGUCAGCUCGUGUCGUGAGAUGUUGGGUUAAGUCCCGCAACGAGCGCAACCCUUAUUGCCAGUUACUACGUUAAGAGGACUCUGGCGAGACUGCCGUUGACAAAACGGAGGAAGGUGGGGAUGACGUCAAAUCAUCAUGCCCUUUAUGACCUGGGCUACACACGUACUACAAUGGCGUUAAACAAAGAGAAGCAAGACCGCGAGGUGGAGCAAAACUCAAAAACAACGUCUCAGUUCAGAUUGCAGGCUGCAACUCGCCUGCAUGAAGUCGGAAUUGCUAGUAAUCGCGGAUCAGCAUGCCGCGGUGAAUACGUUCCCG
rnacentral:rRNA from 1 species